GCGCGGUAAUACAGAGGGUGCGAGCGUUGUCCGGAAUUACUUGGGCGUAAAGGGCGCGUAGGCGGUUCGGAAAGUAGGGGGUGAAAUUCCACGGCUCAACCGUGGACCUGCCUUCUAGACUGCCGGACUUGAGCACGGUAGAGGCAGAUGGAAUUCCCGGUGUAGCGGUGGAAUGCGUAGAGAUCGGGAAGAACACCAGUGGCGAAGGCGGUCUGCUGGGCCGUUGCUGACGCUGAGGCGCGACGGCGUGGGGAGCAAACAG
rnacentral:rRNA from 1 species